rnacentral:rRNA from 1 species
UACGUAGGGUGCGAGCGUUAAUCGGAAUUACUGGGCGUAAAGCGUGCGCAGGCGGUUUUGUAAGCCAGAUGUGAAAUCCCCGGGCUUAACCUGGGAAUGGCAUUUGGGACUGCAAGGCUGGAGUGUGGCAGAGGAGACUGGAAUUCCUGGUGUAGCAGUGAAAUGCGUAGAGAUGUGGAGGAACACCGAUGGCGAAGGCAGCCUCCUGGGCUAGUACUGACGCUCAUGCACGAAAGCGUGGGGAGCAAACAGG